UUACGGCCACAUCAUGUUGAAACACCGGUUCCCAUACGAUUAGCAAAGUUAAGCAACAUCGCUCCUGGUUAGUACCUAUAUGGGUGGCUGUCUGGGAAUACAAGUUACUGUAAG